rnacentral:rRNA from 1 species
UGCGUAGGCGGGCUAAUUAGUCAGUGGUGAAAACCUGCAGCUUAACUGUAGACUUGCCAUUGAUACUGUUAGUCUUGAGUACGGUCAAGGUAGGCGGAAUGUGUAAUGUAGCGGUGAAAUGCUUAGAUAUUACACAGAACACCGAUUGCGAAGGCAGCUUACUAAGCCAUUAUUGACGCUGAGGCACGAAAGCGUGGGGAGCGAACAGGAUUAGAUACCCUGGUAGUCC